AUAAUUCAGUGAUUUGGCCAAAAUUGUUGACACAUAGCUGCUGGAAAUGUUUCAAUUUAUCCGAGGGAGGGAGAAAGAAUUUUUCCAGUUUAGACGUGAGCUUUCAUAAUUGUUCCCUUGCUGCACUUUCAUUUAGCCGUGAGUUAUCAUUUUGUUUCCUUCGCUGCAUUUUUCAUAAACCCAUAAGCUUGAUGAGCUUUAUAUGUGCGAGGUUCAUGUGAAGGGAGUUGCGACAUAGCAACAGAAAUUUUCGUCGUAGAUGGUUUUCUUUCUUUUGCUGCAGUUCAUCUUCAUAAUUUGCUGUUUUCCUAGCUUUUCGCAACAAUACAUAAGCUGGUUUGCUCAUUUCUUUUCGCUAGCUGAAUUAGGUGUAGAAAGGGGUGGUGUUUGAUUGGUUUAGAAGUUGUAUGCUCGGCUCUAAACAUUGUGAACCCAUUUUUAAACAUUGCUGGAUUUUUGAUGAGAUUAGAGAUGUUGAAUCUUCUUGGCAUAAAAUUUCCUAGCACUUGCAUGUUUGUUCCUGAUAUGUUUUGGUUUGUUUGGGGAAUCAAGUUGGGAGUUAUGUUGUUUGACUCAAAGAGGGGAUGUUGCUAGAUAAAAUUUGUCCAAGCUUGGCGUUAGUUUUGCCAAAAUCUGUUCGGGAAAAAAAUGAAAAUGCACCAAUCUUUGAGUGGGUUUUUGUAACAAAAGUGCAGCAGCUUUUUGGUUUUGUAAACUUGCAAGAAAUUACUUUGAUUAAGUAUUGUUUAAGCAUGCUUUAAUUAGAGUUAGUUUAACGCUUUGUUAGCUAAAGAUUCAUAGAUGAAUUUGUGGAUAAGUUAGCUUAGCCUACCAAGAUUUUCUUGUUGCUACCGAAACUUCCUUGUUGUUUUGCCGAAAGUUUCUUGUUUGUUGCAGAAAAUUUUGUUCCUCACGUAUGCAUGCAUGUCAAUAUUUCUGAAUUUAGCACUUUGUCCCCCCAAGUCCCUUCUCAUUUUACUAGGGCCCAAGUAAUUGGAAC
rnacentral:lncRNA from 1 species